CGGGGUGUGGCGCAGUGGUAGCGCACUAGUCUGGGGGGCUAGGGGCCGCGAGUUCAAGUCUCGCCACUCCGACCA
rnacentral:tRNA from 1 species